CCCUUAGAUGUUCUGGGCGGCCCGCGCACUACAAUGGCGCUUUCAGCGAGUUCCUAUGUUGAAUUUUCCUGGGUAUUCUUGGAAGCGGCGUCUUGACUUGGGAUAGAUCCUUGUAAUUGUUGGUUUUGAACGAGGAAUUCCUUGUAAUCGCGGUUGAUCAGCUCGCGUUGAAUACGUCCCUGCCCUUUGUACACACCGCCCGUCGCACCUACCGAUUGGAUGGUCCGGUGAAGCCUCGGGAUUGUGGUUCUUGCCGCUUUAUUGUGGCGUGACCGCGAGAACUUGUCUAAACCUUAUCAUCUAGAGGAAGGUGAAGUCGUAACA
rnacentral:rRNA from 1 species